GACGAACGCUGGCGGCGUGCCUAAUACAUGCAAGUAGAACGCACAGUUUAUACCGUAGCUUGCUACACCAUAGACUGUGAGUUGCGAACGGGUGAGUAACGCGUAGGUAACCUGCCUGGUAGCGGGGGAUAACUAUUGGAAACGAUAGCUAAUACCGCAUAAUAUUAAUUAUUGCAUGAUAAUUAAUUGAAAGGUGCAAUUGCACCACUACCAGAUGGACCUGCGUUGUAUUAGCUAGUAGGUGAGGUAACGGCUCACCUAGGCGACGAUACAUAGCCGACCUGAGAGGGUGAUCGGCCACACUGGGACUGAGACACGGCCCAGACUCCUACGGGAGGCAGCAGUAGGGAAUCUUCGGCAAUGGACGAAAGUCUGACCGAGCAACGCCGCGUGAGUGAAGAAGGUUUUCGGAUCGUAAAGCUCUGUUGUAAGAGAAGAACGGGUGUGAGAGUGGAAAGUUCACGCUGUGACGGUAUCUUACCAGAAAGGGACGGCUAACUACGUG
rnacentral:rRNA from 1 species